AUGAAUAUUGUUUCUAUGAAUACAUUUCUUGACGUGUCUUUUGGUGAACAUGUGCCCUCCUUUCUCUUGGAUAUAUACUUAGGAGUGGAAUUGCUGGCUCAUAAGGAAGACAUAUGUUUAAUUUUGGUAGAUACUUGCAGACAGUUUUCCAAAGCGGCUGAACCAAUUUCUUUUCGCUCCAGCAAUGUACAAGAGUUACAGUUGAUUUCUUAUCUAAAUGUUCAUGGAGAUGCAGAAGCAGCCCAGCCGUUGGGUUUUAAACUACCAAAUGUGUGGUGUUUGAAGAAAAUGCAAGAUUUGGGUCUAUCUAUAUUGUUGAAUGUGAAACGGGAGAGUUCCCUGACCCCUGUGGCAGGACGUCUGACAAGGGUGUGGCUUAUCUGUUUUGCCGCCAUGCGCUCAAGCCCCUUAUGGGAGGAGGAGCACCCAGACCGGCAGCUGCAGGAGCUAGGGGCUGCUACCUGUGAGAAACCUUCCAAGAGCAAAGAAGAAGUUUUCCCUUGGCCAAACAAUGCAUCUGACAAGUCUAAUAUUCGGAAUCUAUAACUUAAACAAAUUUACAAGAAACUAACAAACAGACCCAUUAAAAAGUGAGCGAAGAACAUGAGCAGACAUUUCCAAAAGAAGACAUACAUGUGGCCAACAAACAUAUGAAAAAAUGCUCAACAUCACUGAUCAUUAGAGGAAUGCAAGUCAAAACCACAGUGUGGUACCAUCUCAUACCAGUCAGUAUGGCUACAAUGUCAGUAUGGCUAUUAUUAAAAAGUCAAAAAAUUAACAUGCUGGUGAGGUUGUGGAGAAAAGGGAAUGCUUAUAUGCUGCUGGCAGGCAUGUAAAUUAAUUCAGUCAUUGUGGAAAGCAGUUUGGUGAUUUCUCAAAGAACUUGAAAGAGAAUUACCAUUUGACCCAGCAAUCCCAUUAUUGGGUAUAUAACCAAAGGAAUAUAAAUCGUUCUCCCAUAAGGACGCAUGCAUGCAUAUAUUCACAAUAGCAAAAACAUGGAAUCAACCUAAAUGUCCGCCAAUGGUAAACUGGAUUUAAAAAAUGUGGUAAAUAUAAGUAAUAAAAUGGUAUGCAGCCACAAAAAAGAACAAGAUCAUGUCCUUUGCAGCAGCAUGGAUGCAUUAUCUUAAGCAAACUAACACAAGGAGAGAAAACCAAAUACUGCAUGCCCUCACUUAUAAGUGGGAGCUAAAUAUCAACUACAUAUAAACCCAAAGAAGGGAAUGGCAGACACUGGGGCCUAUUUGAUGGUAAGGAUUGUAAAAUUACCAGUAGAGUACUAUACUUAUUACUUGGGUACAAAAUAACCUGCACACCAAACCCCUACAACAUUUAAUUGACUUAUAUAACAAACCUUCACAUACAUGUAUCCCUGAAUCUAAAAUAAAAGUUAAAAAUAAAAUGAAAUAAAAGUAAAUCUUGCAACCAUGCAAAUCUAAGUGAAAAAAAAAUUCUAAAGUUAUUUUUUACAAUUAAAAAAAAAAAAAAAAAACAAAGCCUGAAAGAAAUAUUUACCAUUUAUUCUGUCUGUGUCCUGCUGCCUGGGAGGAACCUUCAGAGGACAAAGAGGUUUUCCCUUGGCACCUACACUAUCAAUUUCAGAAUGCCCGGAUUAUUUCAAAUUUGAAAACAUUGCAUUUUCCACAUCAGAUAUUAGCUAAUGUUUUUAACACUGUGUUUGAAAUCCAUUUAAUGUGGGUUUUUUCCUUUACAUUUCUCUUCACCUUUAUUUGUUGAUCUUUAUUCUCCCUCUGUGGCUGCACUGGCUGGUGUGGGUUUGUGCUUCAUUUCAAGUUCUCAGCUUGAUGAUUCCUGAAUCUGACCAUGACGGACUCCAGAUCAGAUUGUCAAGAGGCUGCUUGAAUUGUGAAAGCGGUAGUUUCCCCCUGGCAAUUAGAUGUUUCUCUUAUAAAGAACUGGGUGAAUUUAUUCUUUAUCUUCUUUGGGGUUAUCACAAUGAGUUGGUCUAUUAGGCUGUCAACUAAAAAUAUCUAUAAAAAGAACAAAAUAAAAGAAUGUCACAGUUUUAUUUCUGCUGUAAUGUCACCUUUGUUGGUGAGGGGAGAUAUAUCAGAGCUGUAAUCACGCUGUAAUCACAUCUGCCUUAGCUUUAGAAGCUCUAAAGGUAUCCAGUUGGCAAUUUCAGGUGCUGUCCCCACAUAUACCUUUGGAUUGACUAGUUGCAAUUUCAUUUUUUUUUUUUUUUUUGCCACUUUCAAGCAUUCACAUUUUUUUCCAAAAAAGAUUUAUUGUGGUUUUGAGUCACUGCCAGCUAUUCAUUGUGGGUGUAUUUUUUUAAAUAAAAAAAUUUGCUUUUGUCAUUAUCUGGUGAGUCAUAAAGAAUAUCAUACAAAUUUGAUUUCUAUUGAGGUUGAUAAUUUGUUACUUAACAUUUUUAAAAAUUUCCAAUUUUUUUCCAUUCAGAAUUUUUUUUUGUCAUUUUUGUUUUGUUAUUAUAAGUGGUAAACAGUACAAUAUUUUAAAUUAUAUUUGCGGAAGAGUUCAGCCUCUGUCUUUCCCCUGUUGCUAGCUACUCAAAUCCCAGCAGAGAUAGCCAUCACCUUCUGCAAUUUCUAGAGAUAUUAUAUGCACUUAUACAUAAAUAAAUGGAUGUUGUAAAAUUAAAUAAUUCAAACAAAAUAAUUCAAACUUAACACUGUUGGAACUUUACAUUCUUUUGAGCCUUGAGGGGAAUAUGUCUAUGUAGCCUGAGUCGUGUGACAUUUAGCUGCAACUUCUGCCUUUUUCUUCUUGUAAAUAAUUAAGAGUAAGUGGCACCAGAGAUACGAUGCCUCCUCAAAUCACUACCCCUCCUCAUGAAGUCAUAACAUAAUCCAAUCUGUAAUCAAUAGAAUCGUGGUAACAUAUACACUGGUCUCAUAUGAAAAAUGUAAUCCUGCUAAAAUUUCUCUGUAUCUGCCUAUGUAAGUGAAACCUUAACUUUUCCACUUUGGAACAUUGACCCCAUUCAUUUGGAGUUGAUGUUUCCCAAAUGGCUAUCCUAGAGCUUUGCACUCAAACCGUAUGCUUAAUCAUAUUUUCUGAAUCUCAUUUUGUAAGGUUGACAAUGUAUAUUUUUCUCACCAGUGGUUACAUGGUAUACACGCUGCUCUUCACCUUGCCUUAUUUCAUCUAAUGAUCUAUCUUGAAUUAUAUACCUAUAGAGUUUCUUUUUGAAUAUUUUUGAUGAUGGCAUAAUGUUCUCUUGUAUAAAAGUAUGUUAAAUAUUUUUACUCAGUUCUUUAGAGUCGGGCAUUAAGGUGAUUCCCCAUAUUUGCAUAACAAAUUGAGUUGCAAUGAAAAUAUUUCUAUAAUAGCUUAUACAUGUGCCAGUUUAUAUGCAGAAAACAUUACUGAAAGCAGUUUUGUUGGUAAAUGAAGAUGUGCAUUUAAAUUUUACAUAAAUAUUUGUACUCUAUAGCUCCAAUUUACCCACCCAUCAUUAAUAUGUAACUGUUCCCGUUUUCAUGUGUCCUCUCCAGCACAGUGUCAUCAAUGUUUUGUCUUUGCCAAUUUAAUAAGUAAAAACUGAAAUUCUACUCUGGUCUUAAUUUGCAUUAGGGUUAAUCUGAAUAAGACUAGCUUUCUUUUUCUACAUUUAGGAGUUACUAAUAUUGCUUUUUUUUGUAAAUAUG
ensembl:lncRNA